AUUGAACGCUGGCGGCAGGCUUAACACAUGCAAGUCGAGCGGAGCGAGGGUGCUUGCACCUUAGCUUAGCGGCGGACGGGUGAGUAAUGCUUAGGAAUCUGCCUAUUAGUGGGGGACAACAUUCCGAACGGGAUGCUAAUACCGCAUACGCCCUACGGGGGAAAGCAGGGGAUCUUCGGACCUUGCGCUAAUAGAUGAGCCUAAGUCGGAUUAGCUAGUUGGUGGGGUAAAGGCCUACCAAGGCGACGAUCUGUAGCGGGUCUGGGAGGAGGAUCCGCCACACUGGGACUGGGACGCGGCGCAGACUCCUACGGGGGGCAGCAGUUGGGAAUAUUGGACAAUGGGCUGAAGGCUGAUCUAGCCAUGCCGCGUGUGUGAAGAAGGCCUGUUGGUUGUAAAGCACUUUAAGCGAGGAGGAGGCUACUAGUAUUAAUACUACUGGAUAGUGGACGUUACUCGCAGAAUAAGCACCGGCUAACUCUGUGCCAGCCGCCGCCGUAAGAC
rnacentral:rRNA from 1 species